rnacentral:lncRNA from 1 species
GUUAUCGUUGUUGUUAUUGUUGUUGUUGUUCUUGUUGUUGUUUUGAUGUUGUCGUUGUAGUUCUCGUUGUCGUCAUUGUUGUUGUGGUGGUCCUUGUUAUCGUCGUUAUCGUUGUCGUUUAUCGUUGUCGUCGUCGUUGUUGUUGUGGCUGUUGUCGUCGUCGUCGUCGUCGUUGUUGUUGUUGUUUUUGUUUUUGUUUUUGUUCUU